rnacentral:lncRNA from 1 species
AGUGACAGAUCCAAAAAUUUGUUAAUUCGAGGUAUAAAAUAAAGUACUCAUCACUCUGUGUGACAAAAAGCAGUGACAGAUCCAAAAAUUUGUUAAUUCGAGGUAUAAAAUAAAGUACUCAUCACUCUGUCAUUGAAGAUCAAUACUCUUUCUAUGGAUCCCCUAUUGGAGUAAAGUUGCAAUUUAAAAUUUUGUAAAUACAUCUCUUAUUUCAUUAUUACUCGAGUUUGGAUUGAUUUGGUGAAUCAUUUUUUAUCAUUUAGUGAGCUAAGUUGAACUACGUGAAGGCCGAGACUAGUAACGAACAAUAUAAUUGACUUAGCUAGCGAUAUGGAUUAGAUAACACCAAGUUUUUUUUUUUUUUUUGGAGAAUUGCAAAUUAUUCUCCACUCUAAAUGGUGAGGCACGUCGUUCGAGUAGGCAACUUUAUCAAUAACAAAUUAAGGCCUAUGUUUUUUAUUUCUUUUGCCCCAACUCCAUGUGAAUGAAAGUUCUUUGCAAUCGACUAUUAGAUUCGUAAUCAGGUUCGGAGGAAUUAAAUUGAGAAAGAAUUGAAUUGAUGAGUUGGACUGAAGAGGACUUGGAAUCCAAUUUCUCAUUAAAGUUGUUUACUAAACUAUAUGGAAUUGGAUUUAGAGUGAAAAGUCUAUAUCUUACUAGUAAGUUAGAGUGAAAAGUCUAUAUCCUUAUUUUGUGUGGACCUCGU